AUAAUGAUGGGGUAGUAAAUGCUAAUACCAGCUAUCUCCUUCCCUUGUAUUUAUCCCUGUUUUUGUUCCCCUCUGUCCACUCUGGCUUCCUAUUCUCCCUUUGUGGCAAAAUAUCCACUAUUCUUGAAGAAAGCGAACCAGCAAACCUGCUAAUAUUAAAGCUUCAGUGACCCAAUAGGUAGCUACACUUUGAGGAACAUUUGCAUUUCCAAAGAAAUUAUCUGAAGACAAAAAUGUCUAAUUCAAUGGGCUGAAAUGCAAAUUGUUAUAAUUCAGGCUAGAAAGAUAUCUAUCCCAAGGAACUUCCUUAUCAUGCUCUGGGAGACAGUAGGCUGCCUCAUGGAAGGCCGUUAUAGAUGUCCAACUAAACAUUUCAAAAAACAGGUAUAGAAGCAUUGGCUUGGGACUGAGAAAUGAUAUUCAUUUGGUGCAAAAGUAAUUGCGAUUUUUGCCCUUGAAAAUGAUGGUUAAAACUGCAAUGACUUUUGCAUCAACCUAUGGAUUAGUAAUUGAUACACAAAGACAUGACACAUGAGAAUACCAAGUGCACUGCUUGGCACAUAGUAGACAUUCAACAAAUGCUUCUCGCUGACAACUUUUGCUUUCCUCCUCAAUCACCCACUUUUUAGAAUCCUUGAAAAAAUUUUACAAAUUUUUCAAAUAUUCAGGAAACUUAAAUAACAUCAGAUUUAGAGAAGAAUUAUUGACUGUAGCCAAUUUUUGGACCUAUACAUUUUUUAAACUAUGUGAUGGGAAUCUCUUCAUUUUUUAGAGCAACAUGGAUGCAUAUCAAUUACAAACCUUGCUAAAUCAUCCUUUCUAUCUGUGAGGCAAUAAAAUUCAUUAUCCUGGUUAGUUUGAGGAUAUACUUAACCCAUAAACACCAACAGCAAGUAUAGAUUCAGACAUUUGUAUCUAUAAUUUAGACAGUUUAAAAUGCAAUAUUAAGUAAUUCAAAAAUUGUUCAAAGCUCAGUACCUUUUCACACAUUAAUACUUUGAUUAUCAACUUCCUUUUAAAGAGUAAGUGAGUAGAAAAGGGUAAGUAGAAAAGAGUAGAAGAGGCCUUUCUUUCACAAUUUGCCAAGACAUGCAUCACUUAUUUACAAUCAAACAAAAUGCUGUUUGAAAAACAAGAAGGAUGGCAAGAAUGAAGCUCCUUCAAGCAAGAUACCUCUGACUACCCUCUAAAGACAGAUACUAUGGCAUGGUCAUAGAAUUACUGCAGGAAAAAUUUGUCCACUGAGGCUGCUUCCUCCAGAGGAAAUAUCUUUCUGCUCAUUUAGAGGUGCAAAGGAAAACAUUUAGAACUUCCCAGAUGAAUAAAUUGCAUUUCAUCUGAAUGAACAUCUAACUUUGGAGAUGGAGAGAACAUUCUUUUGUAUUGUUGUAGAUAUGCCUAGUAUAAUAUUGGUAUAAUUAAUUUUUCAGCUACAAUGCAGAUUCCUGGGUCAGUGCAAAAGACCUUGUUUAUUUAGAAGUGAUUAUCUGAGAAAGUGGCUCAUUAGUCUUAGAUUCGUGGAAUGCACAGUCUGGUCUGCAAAUUAAAAUAGCUAUUUAAAUUCCCUUUAUGAAAAUUGUGCCUGAUAGGGCACUUCCAUGUGCAGUGAGGUUUGUAUUUGCACAUCUAGAGCAUCCAGGAAAUCAGCGAAGUUGCGUUUUGUGUCUUUAGAUAUGCUACAGUUGAUAAACCCUAAGAUUCAGAUAUUAACUAUUGGAUAAGCUCUUGCAUUUCCCAUAACUUUAGCUUUGAAGCCAUUCAUUACCUUAAUACUAAGGAAAGAAUGUCAGAAAAUCCAAAGAGAGAGAAUUCUCAGUUAUGAUUUUUGGACAUAUAAUUGGAAAGAAGUCAGAUUUGGCUUUUACAAUUAGUGCCAUAUAAUGUCACACAAAGUAUUUCCUGCAGUGUGCUCAAAGAGGUCAAUUUGUGAUUUAUUUGCAAGUCAUAGUUCUGAAAUUACUGACUUGUGUGUGUAACAAUUUAGCUUUAACUUGGGCACUUAAUUUAGCAUUAAAUAUAGCUCCUCUUCAAUAUUGAUCCUUGCCCUGAACAAGAUAUCAUUUCAUAAACCCAAUUAAACAUGGUGCCUACUGUGGUUUAAAUACCAAGACAGAUUAAAUGUAUUGUCCAGUUUCACAGAUCAGCAAUGCUUCUCUUCCUGUAUCACUAGCUCAUGAUAAUAACAUAAGGGACCAGUCUGUGCCAGUGGAUGGGCCAGAAUUAAAAGAGGAUAAAUAUUGAUGUCCUGCCUGAAAGAAAACUGGGCACCCAAGGUGUCAGAGAGUUGUCUGAUAUACUGUGACAUGAAUGUCCCAUAUAUAUAAAUUGCAGCCUUUUUAAAAUAAGGUAGAAUUGUUUGUGGAAGAUUAAAAACUCUUUCUAAAUUGUUGAAUUAAAAUAUUUAGUUAAUAAAUAAAUCACUGCUAUUUUCAUCAAUAUAGGAGUUGUUUCUUCAAGUUUGUGUGUUUUCUCAAUUAGAAAAAAAGUCUAAUUUGUUUAAAUAGUGAGAAGUCAACAUUGAACUGUUGUCUACUCAAUAGCCACAAUUCCUUAUUUCUUGUUUACAAUGACCAUAGAUUGUUUAUGUUUGUAUUGUUGCAACAAGUUCAUAGACAAUGGAUUCCUCUCCCAAUCUGGGAGGAUGAGCCAUGGUUGGUCUAGGCCAUGAAUAUUGUGGUAGAUUGUAUUGUGUGUUCACAAUUCUUUGUUCUCUGGCCAGGUGCAGUGUCUCACGCCUGUAAUCCUAGCACUUCGGGAAACUGAGGCGGGCAGAUUGCCAGAGCUCAGGAGUUCGAGACCGGCCUGGGCAACAUGGCAAAACCCCUCUCUACUAAAAAUACAAAAAAUUAGCUGGGUAUGCUGGUGCGCACCUGUAAUCCCAGCUACUUGGGAGCCUGAGGUGUGAGAAUCACUUGAACCCGGAAGGCGAAGAAUGCAGUGAGCCAAGAUUGUGCCACUGCACUCCAGCCUGGAUGACAGAGCGAGACUCUGUCUCAGAAAAAAAUAAUUAAAAAAGAUGAUUCUUGUUCCCUCCCCAUCCUUACCUUUUUUUAAUGAGGAAAGAGAAUAUUUCCCUGUAUCACUGACUUUGGGCUUGGCUAUGUGACUGCUCUACCCAAUAGAAUUUGGGUAGGUUAAUAGUAAUAGAAGUAACUAAGCAGAACUUUAAAGAAGCUUCUCCUCUUCAACUCUUGCUUAUAAAGCAUUAUAAAAAUCAAUAUAUAUAAAGCAUUAUAAAAAUCAAAUGCCCUAAGUAGUCUGUGUCCUUCAACAUGGGUCCAGGAAUGAGAGACACCUGGAGCACACCUGACUCUCAUCUGUAGUCUAAGGUAGAACUGCUGCAACCAAUUCGCAAAAUUCAUGAGCAAGGAGUAAAUGCUUGCUGUUAUCGGUCAGUAACUUCUUGUCAUGUUUCUUAAGCAUUAUUGGAGCAAAAGCAAACUAAUACAAAUGUUAAUGUAAUUCCUUUGCUUGUGAUUGAUUUAGAGAUGAAUAUUUGUCCUGUUUCCAGCUAAUACAAUGUAUUUAGGAAGAAUGCCAAAGGAGGGAGCUUAUUAGUAGGAUUUUGACCUCUAAUGAAAAUGAUGGCCAAAUAUAUGAAAUUUUUUCUUUCUUUGGUUUUUAUUGUUCAAAGACAUAAUUAUUUAAGUUGUGUUAGUUGUGUGUGAUCUUAUAACUGUGAGGAAUUACAUAGAAUGAAAAUGGAAUGUGCUGUGGUGGCAGAACAGAAAGAAGUUGGGUGAUUGACACCGUUGAGCUGCUGCAGGAAAUCUGUUAGUCUCCAUUUCCAGGGGUCUUGCUAUGUAGAAAAAUUGGAUGACUUUAUUGCUUAAGUCACUAUAAGAAUGUUUUCUGUUACCUGCAACCCAAUGCACCCAACUAAUAAAGUAUGUUUCUAGAAAUACA